UUUCCAUCUAUUUGUGCCUCUGUCGAUCGUCCUCUCGUGGGUCCUCUCCUCCAGACGUCCCUCAACCUUCCUCCUCUGAUGUCAGAACCAGCGUCCUGAUCGAGCUCCUUGAUUCUUUUCCAGAUGGAUGAACUGCACCGUACCUUUCACCUCUCAACUCUCCCUCUGUUGGUUUUCCAUCUUUUCCUAACACAUGUCUGCCAAGGUCAGUCUGAACUGAUCGGUUCAUCUCAGCCAAUAGUAGCAACUCUUGGUGAAGAUGUGGUUUUACCAUGUUACCUGCAGCCUG